UACAGAGGUCUCAAGCGUUGUUCGGAUUCAUUGGGCGUAAAGGGUGCGUAGGUGGCGCCGUAAGUCAGGUGUGAAAUUUCGGAGCUUAACUCCGAAACUGCAUUUGAUACUGCGGUGCUUGAGGACUGGAGAGGAGACUGGAAUUUACGGUGUAGCAGUGAAAUGCGUAGAGAUCGUAAGGAAGACCAGUGGCGAAGGCGGGUCUCUGGACAGUUCCUGACACUGAGGCACGGAAAGCCAGGGUAGCGAACGGG
rnacentral:rRNA from 1 species